AAACGAAAGUUUGACUAAGUUAUACUAGAUGCACCAGGGUUGGUAAAUUUCGUGCCAGCCACCGCGGUCAUACGAUUAACCCAAACUAAUAAAUAUACGGCGUAAAGCGUGUUUAAUCUAUAUUUAAACUAAAGUUAAAUCCCGACUAAGCUGUAAAAAGCCCCAGUCUGACUUAAAAUAAUCUACGAAAGUGACUUUAAUACUUUGAAGACACGAUAGCUAAGGUCCAAACUGGGAUUAGAUACCCCACUAUGCUUAGCCAUAAACAUAAAUAAAUAUAAACUAAUUUAUUCGCCAGAGUACUACAAGCAACAGCUUAAAACUCAAAGGACUUGGCGGUGCUUCACACCCCUCUAGAGGAGCCUGUUCUAUAACCGAUAAACCCCGAUCAACCUUACCACCUCUUGCUAAUUCAGUCUAUAUACCGCCAUCUUCAGCAAACCCUAAAAAGGCUUUAAAGUAAGCACAAGUAUAAACAUAAAAACGUUAGGUCAAGGUGUAACCUAUGAGGUGGAAAGCAAUGGGCUACAUUCUCUACCUUAGAGUAUUACGAAUAUUCUUAUGAAAAUAAGAAUUAAAGGAGGAUUUAGUAGUAAAUCAAGAAUAGAGAGCUUGG
rnacentral:rRNA from 1 species